AAUUCUCAACCUUGUCAGCUUUUACCGGCUGGUCAAGGCUUGGAUGUGGGGGUUUUUUGCAGGUCUUCACAGAUCUGCUCCCCUGAAAUACAUUAGUGGUGCCUCUGUAGUGUGAGCGGCUAUUUGGUGUGAUAAUCUAUCUACGCCAUUAGACGGCCUACAUCUCUUGAAUGAGAAGGAGGGAUUAAUCUGCUUAUAACCGUCCUUCGGGACAAACAUAAAUGACU
rnacentral:misc_RNA from 1 species